rnacentral:misc_RNA from 1 species
AAAAUUCAGCUCCAAGAAAUCAAGCGCACAUAAAAUUUUCUCCCAUUUGUUAUUUCUCCGCAACACAGCCAAGCCAAACAUAUGUUAGAAGUAGGAGGGCAAAAGGCAUUGUCAUAAAAUCCCAUGUUCUAUAUGACAAAACUGAUGGUGGUCUUUCCUAGUAAAGAUUUACCGAGCAACUAGAGAACAUUUCUUUUUUUUAAAAGAAAAGAAAUACAUUUAGCAUUGAGAAUGUUAGAAACUGGAAAAGCCACCAACUCUAGUAGCUCGAGUAGCUCCACCUUUCUUGUUCCGCCUUUUGGUAGAGCCAAAAUUUUUGAAUCCCAGAAUAUCCAUAGUUCAGAUUUUGAUCACAAAGAUUUGAGAUAGCAUGAUUUACAGACUACAAAGAAAAAAUUUAACAGAAAUCAGGGAAGAAAUGAGCAAAUGAAACUAACAGCAUAAUGCAAAAUCAGGAAAGAAGCAACAUUAGGAAAUGAAUUGCAGAUCAAUUAAGAUUUUGUUCUUUAAACCUCAACAUGAAUAAAUAAUCACAACUGUUUGCACUACGAUAAGUCUUCUCAAAAGCUAAAAUAAAAUAAAAUAAGACAGAUUUAGAUACAGUAAUGUAGAAGAUCUCCUUUCCUUAAAAAGGUAAGUUAGGACUCACAUGCGGUUGUCAGAACUGGGCAGAGGGGUUCUGAGUUGUUGGUGUGUUUGUCCCAAAGGAAAAUAUGAGUAAAACUGUUGCUGGUAAUUCUCCACUCCUAGUGGACACUGGACACCCAUAUUUGCACCAAAAUUCUGGUAUGAGAUAGGAUGCUGUCGGAAAGAGAUUGGUGGAUGGAAAGUAGGCAAAUUGUAAUAUGGUGGGCCAAUUGGAGGUGCAAUAACAUUGCAGUUAGAAGGAUACAAUGACUGAGACUGGCGUGCAGCAAAAUACUUCCCCUGUUCCGGGUGGCGAUCUCUUCUACACCGAGCUAUUGCCACAUAGAGAGACUUCCUCCCAAACAUGAUUCCAUUCAGAGUGUUCAGAGCUUUCUUUGCUUCUUCAGGACUUGAGAAACACACAAAUCCAAAUUUUCUACUUACUCCAUUAUCAUACCGCAUCACUUUUGCUGAAACUAUCUUUCCACAGGCACUGAAUAUUUCUCGUAAUUUGUUGUCAUCAAUGCGUACAUCAAGAUUCUUCACAUACACAUUUGAUAACUUCAACUUCUCAAUAUGGUUGUUGAAAAUAUCCUUGUCUGCAUGUUGUAAUAUCUUUAUUCUCUCAGCUUUCUUUUGGGCUCUUCCCACAAACAAAGUCCUAGAACCUAGUAGGGAACCAUUCAAAGCAUCAACAGCUUUUUUAGCACCUUCUGGUGAAUCAAAGUUGACAAAUCCAAAACCUCUUGACGUCCCUUCAUGAUCCUUCAUGAUGACAACAUUACAAACCUUCCCAAAUACAGCAAACAUGUUUUGAAGGGUAUCCUCUGUUAUGUUAUCAGCCAGAUUUUUAACAUAAAGAUUUGUAAAGUUUGAUUCUUCAGAAAGUGUGGGUGCUGUCCUCUCACUUUUCUUGAUGAAUUUGGAUACAUACAGUUUCUUCCCUUCAAGCAUAGUAUCAUGGAGAGCAGUUCGAGCAGCCAGGGCAGAAUACUCUGAAUCAAACUGGACAAACCCAAAACCCUUACUCUUGCCAUGUUCUUCAGCCACCUUGCAAGAAAGUAUAGUCCCAAACUUGCAGAACAUGCUCUCCAAGCGAGCACUAUCAAUUGAAGAGUCUAGAUUCUUCACAAAAAGAUUGCCAAUGCCGCUCUUUCUUGCAAAAGGGUCCCUCUGACACCACAUUAACCUCAUGGAUUUUCCCUUCAAGUACAUGUGAUUUAGUUUGCGCAAAGCUUCAGAUGCUUGCAUGUGAGAGUAGAAGUUGACGUAGCCGUAACAAAGAGACUUGCCGGUGAAAGCGCAACGGCAGAGACGAAGGGUGAAAAAGGGACACACGGAGCAAAACACAGUUCUCAGGUCCAUUUCUGUGACUUCCGGAUGCAAAUCACCCACAUACAGCGACGUCUUCUGUCGCAGGUCGGCCGCUGCAUGCAGUGACGGUGCCGCCGCCAUUGAUUUUCUUGCUCUCAACGCACAAACAGAGGGGGCCGGGAGAGAGAGAGAGAGAGAGAGA